CUAGCAGACAGGAUUUCACUCAAUGCUCUACUUUUUAACCACUUUUUCCUUCAUUGUAAAUCAGCCGCCCAUUCCUUCUACUUUCCUCUUCCUUCAACACUCUUGCCCUGCUUUUUUAAAGUCUUCUUCUUUGCCAAUAAACACGCAAGACAUAUUCUUUCUCCUCAAUCUUUAUCUUUUCCCUUAUUCCAAUUUUCUUUCUUCUCUAUCAGUUGCUAAGCUCCAUAGAUCUCCUUGCACCUAACAGCCUCAAGUCAAGCUCCCUAGAUCUUGGAUAAUCAGCUGAAAGGAGGAAGAAAGAGAGGUGAAGAAUUGCUCAAGUUAACUAAGGGAUAUGACUUAUACGAAGAAAUUGUGAUCAUGUAUUUGAGGAUGACCUUUGAAGGGGUUUCCAAUAGAUUGUGCAAAAGAGUUCCAACACCAUUGUUGGUGAAGGAGUUUAAUAUUCAUGGAAGGGAAAAGGAUAAGUAUGUUGUAUUUGAAUUGUUGAUGAGGUAUGAAGCAAAUAAUUUGAGCUCCUAUGUUUCCAAUGACGGGCAUGGAUGGAGUAGGGAAGAAAAUUUACACUCAACUUGUUUAUAAUGAUGAUAUAUUGAAAUUUGAUUAUAAAGCAUAUGUAUAUAUCUCUAAUAAAUCUAACAUUCUUGUCUCUGAAGAAGGUUUUAACCAUUCUAGAUGAUUUGUGGAAUGAGAACUACAAUCAUUCUAGUAUUGGUAUUUUUUAAUUUUUGAGAUUGAGCUAUCAUCAUCUUCCUUCAUAUGGAGUGAUGAUUUGCACAAUGCUUUGCAUAUUGUGCAAUGUCUUGCACAAUGCUUUGCAUAUUGUGCAAUGUUUCCAAAAGAUAUCCAAUAUCUUCCUUCAUAUGAAGUGAUGCAUUGCACAAUGUUUUGCAUAUUGUGCAAUAUAUUGCACAAUGCCUUACUUAUUGUGCAAUAUUUCCAAAAGAUUUGAAUUUGACAAGAAUGAGUUGGUUUUAUUAUGGAUAGCAAAAAGUCAAUGCUUAGACCUUAAAUAUUUUCAUGCUUUAUAAUCAAAGUUUUCAAACUUUAUAUCAUCAAAACAAGAUAUGUGAUGUGAUUUAAGCCUAAGUGAAAGUAAAUACAAGAGUGGUAGAUAUGAAAAGUGUCAAAGAUUUGUUUAAGAGCAUUCACAGAGUAUUGUCUCUCUCACUGAUCUUCUAAAUAAAUGUGUGAAAUGGUUUGGAUUCAAGAUCUUCAGAAGUACAAUUCUUGCAUGACCAUGAUGGAGCCCCUUGAAAUUAGGAUGUACUAUGCCUUUUGGAGGAGUUUUAAUGUAGGAUAGCUGCACAAUUACUUUCGAAAGUAAGUGAUCUAGCUCAAUAGAAAUAUGUUCUAAUUUGGACAUAAGUUAGAGGCUACAAAAUCUUAAAUGAAGCUUCAACAGUCAUCAUUCACUUCUAGUUGUUAUGACAUCUAUUGCAGAGAACAUUCUUAGCAUUAUCUUUCUGUUACCAUAAAUCACUAUUCGUUACUAGUGAUGUCCUACAUGGCUUAGUGCCAAAAUUAAAAUGCUUAAGGCUCAUCUACAAGGGGAACUUCACAUUACAUGAUUUCAAUAUUUGAGAGAAGAAGCAAAGCGUUGAAGAAUUAGAUUUGGGGUGGGUUGAUUUCCAUUAUAAGCAAGAUCUGGAGGGAUUGGUAAUCAAAGGCAAAAGAGGCAAAAGUUGAAGUACAAAUACUGUUUUCUUUCUAGAUGACAAUGGCUGGCUACUUCCAUUUUGGUUAACUUUCUUUUUAUCAUUACACUCAAGAAUCUGAGAUGCAUAUGUAGGAAGCCUCCAAAACCUCACCUCUUUGGAAGAUUUGUGGACAUUGGGUUUCCUCAAACUCCGAACCUUACCACUCCUCACUUCACUUGGAUCCCCAGUAUAUAAGUCUUUUCCUCUUCUCUAACACUAGUUUGCUAAAGAAAAAGGAAACUAUUGGCCUGUUCGCUGGCAUCCUCUACGUUAAGAUGGAUGUCAUGCACUUCCAAUGAAUAGAGUUGAAUAAAAUUCAGCAUAAAAGAGACGAUGAAUUGUUGGUAGAGAUCUGUGGUCAAUUUUCUGCUUUGAAAAGAGAAAAGUUCAGGUAUUAUUCCUUUAUUCAAUCUCUUACCUUGUUCAUCAUUAUAUUUCACUUUCUCAUGCUGAUGGAAUCUUUGUAAUCUUCUUCUGUUGUCUGUUCUUUUUGUGCAUCUCUUAUGAUGAUAGAGUUAAAUGCAGAGAUCAUAUAUGCAUAAUUCACGAAUACGGUAGCUGUAACAUUGCUCACGGGCUUUUUUCAGUAUGACUGGUGUUUCUGAAAUUAUUUCCUAGAGGUUUGAACUUGUUGCAACUUCUUUAUCAGGACUAUUGUUCUAAUUUUAUAGAGAGCUAUAUUUGCAGGAGUCAUUUUCAAUUAUCAUGCACAAUUCUUAAAUUGUUUGUGGCAAUUUUAAUUAUCCUAAAUGUUGUUUCUGCUUUAGAUAGUUGGAUUGUCCAUAUUUUCUAUUUUGUUGUUUUGAAAUGCAUUGUAUUAGCCAAAGCUUUGUUAUUUUCUAUGGACAACUGUGAUUAUGAUAUGCAAUGUUAUUCUUUCCAAAUCUUUUAUAAACAAUUCUCGGUCAAUAGGAUAUUGUUAACUUGUUCUGAUAUGCAAUGGCACUGACUUAUUCUUUAUUGUUGCAGAUAGCUGCAAACGGAAGGGGUUAUGUGAAUGCGUUGCAAGACACAAAGGCACUUGGAAUCUCUUGGGAAAUGGAAGCUCAGUUUGAUUUCUCACCAGGAUGCAAUUGGCUCCAUUUGCAUUAUCUUUGUGGCUGCUGCAACCACCAAAUUACAUUCGCCACCACCCUUUUGCUCUGGUUGCUUUCAUUGGAAACUUUACGGAUUGCCAUGGUGUUUUCUCUGACCAGCAUGAAUUGUUACUGCAUUUGCUAUGUAGAACAUCCUCUUCAAGACAGGUUUCAAGUAUCCAACUCGCGAGAACGAAAAUGGCCUUUCCCCAUAAUGAAGUGGAGCUGAGCAUAGUAGGAGCUGCAACUAGCUAUGUGAAUAAUGUUCGGAAUACUGUAACUGCACUAGUUCUUUUUCUUGUUCAAUUGCAUUCAAGUUUCUUUGAGGACAUGAAAUGAAUCAUAUUUUACAGCAUCUAUGCCUGUAAUGGGAGGGACUUGUAUGUAUUUUAUGAAAGACUGGUGAAGGAGUUAUAGUAGCCACACAUGUUUGCUAAUGGCAGGGGAACUACAAAAGGACCAAUGCAUGGCCACCCUUGAUACUUGGCUGAACAGCCUCCAUGUGUUUUUGAAUGCCUAAAUUCACAACCAACCAAGAUGAAUUGCGUAAAAUAUAUAAUAAAUUGCAUAUACUGAAAUUGGCCAUUGGAAGUCAUUUAAUAGCUUUUUGACCUUCAAAAGUUAUGUCAAUUCGUUUGAUACGCUGAAA